rnacentral:lncRNA from 1 species
GUCACUCUGUGAUGAAAUCUAGAUUUAUUGAGAAGGCAUCAGGAGGAACACGAUGCUAAGUUAAGUAUGACUUUUAAAAGAUUAAUACGGAUGGGUCAGCAGGUGGUGGGUUAGGUUGGUUUGGGUGACCGGCUGCAGCAUUGCUUUGCAGAGAAGUUGUAACAAAUGAUUGGGUUUGAUCUCAUUUGAACUGAAGCAAACUGAAAAAAAACCCUCAGCCCCAUUUAGCACAACCCAGCAGCCACGGAUUUGUGCCUACUCGCUGAUUUCACAGCGUUGUACAAGCCUACAGACCAAAGGGGGAAAAGCUGCUUGAACUCCUUGAAGCGCAGGGGCUGGUGCAGGGGUGCGGAGCCACAGCAUCACCCCUCGUUAGCAAAAUCCCCACCAAAGGCCAGCCCUCCCCAUCACAUCAGCUAACACUGGCUUCCUGAGAACCAGCUAAUCUUCGCAUGCCUCGGCCUUUCCCAACACAUCCUGGUUCACAAGUUCAGCAGCUUCAAAGUUGCAUCUGAUCAUUAACCCUGAAAGAUCAGAGAUUAGUACAGAGUUUAAAUGGCGUGUUUGGGAUGUCUGAGAGGCACAAAGUUCAGAACAAAUCUGUGCCCAAAUCCUGAGACAAUCUUCCCAAAGUUUAAGAGGCCAAUGCCUCUUAAAAGGGUUUCGGUUCAGGGGUGCGAUGCCUGAGCAUCGUGUAGGGUUGCGCCUUCAUUUCUCUUCUUUUCUUUUUAAAGUUACUUUCAUGCAGCUGCUAUUUCAAAAGUGACCAUGAGGUUUGGGUGCUUCUGGCUGUCUGUGGUGAGCGUGGCUGGGCUUGUAGAUCCCAGGGACUUCAGCCAGAAAGGCAAGACAGUCUAAAUAAAAGCCCUGCAAUUCAGUUCUUCAUUUAUGCCAGGGUCUUUGAUAGCAAAUUACUUUUCUCUUGUUCAUUUUCUCUGUCACUUUUAUUCCUGAUAAGAUAGUUAAAGAAGAAAGUGCUGUAUGUGACCAUGUUAUACACAAAAAACCCCAGCAGAAGACAGGAGCCCCAUCUAUCACAGCUGGUGAAAUUGCUGCUCCUCAGCAAACUGGGAUCGGCGGGUAUCGCUGGAGCCCUCAGCGAGGGGGAUCUCUCGGGAGCUGACGGAAGCUCAGGCUGAGCUGGUGGAGGGCAAGCAGUGCUGUUUGGGGUCAGAAGCACUUGUACUAUAGAUGACUAUUGAUUUCCAGAAGGGAAGCAACUGAUGGAUUGCUGCAGGUCCACCUCUAGAAAUUGCCCAAGUGCUGCUUGACCCACUGUUCUUCACGCGCCCGCGGGGAGUGACUCCCCCAGCAGAAGCAACAGCAGCAGCGACAAAGAUGAAUGGCUUAUUUCCCCCAUAAUGCAACACAGAAACAGGUUUCUAUGAAAAAUAGAGCGCAGACUGAGACAGAGAGGGCGACAGUCACUUUUGAAGGUCACACAUAAUAUUUCUUUAUGGCAAGUUUUCCUUCUGUGAGUGAGAAAAGCGGGACGGAUCAAGUGUCUUCCAACGGACCUGGAUUAAAAAUGAAGUCAUGUUACUUGGAGAACUGACAGUCCCACCAGCAAUAAUAGAGGCUGCUGACAGUUCUGGCUUCACAAUAAAAAGCAUCUUCCCACGUUGUCA